rnacentral:lncRNA from 1 species
UAGUACUCAAUAUCACUUCAGCAAUUGGCACACGACGAUGCGCAAUCAUCAGUAGAGUUCCUUGACAUUGACAAACAGUUAACAUUCCUUGACAUUGACAAACAGUUACCUUAGUAGUUUUAUCCAGCCUCCCUAAAGGCAGGGUAAGGCCUACUAUUAAAGUAAGGGAUUUCAGGCAUCAAGAGAAGCCUAUUUCCAUUUCCAGAAUUCUGCCCUGCUGAACCAAAUUAGCUCAACUUCCAAAGCAAACCAAUGUCAAAAGUUUAUCACGGAAGCUAGGGAAUUGACACAACCUCCUUUCUCUCCUCAAAACAGCAAAAAAGAAGAG